CGAUCCAGAUUGCCGAUUCGGCGGAUCCGACUCCAAGUUGAAAUGUCUAUUACAAUUUCAAAGUUCAAAGUAGGACAAAAAUGGAGCCAUCCAAGGCGGGUCCACGCAAUGAAAAGUUGCAGAGGAAUAUGGAGUUGUUGAGUAAAAUCUCUCUCUCUCUCUCUCUCUCUCUCUCUCUCGAUGAGUAUGCAUGUGACAAGCUUUUAUUCGUUUGCUUUAUGAAGCAAAGUGUGCAGCAGAUUGCCCUCUUUGGGAACCUAGUAAACUGGAAAUGUUUCCUAGAAUAUGUGUCCUACAUUGCUAGCUCAAGCCUUAUCACUUGCCACUGAUGGUGCAUUGACACUGACCAGUAACCACUUCUACUGGGUUAGAUUUUAAAGUUCCAACUUCUAUUUGUUACAAAUUCUCUACUCCAUACUCGAAUCAACAAAGAAACCUUAGAAAACUCUCACAGCUAAAAUCGCUUCUCCAUUUCACCAUAUCUCCUUCUCUUUGGUUUCCUGUAUCAUCUGCUUCUCUUCCAACCUCCAUAAACGCCCGCCAGACUAAGCUCCAAAUAACCCAGAACCGAUCCAAACACUCCUCCAUGAUGAACAGACUCCUAUCAUCCCAGCCAUAAAACUGUCAAACCCUAACCACAUUUCUUACAUCCCAACAACUAGCAGGAAAAUGCUUAUCACCGGAAUCUAUGUCCUCAGAUUUAAUUGGAUAUCGUCAGUCACUAGAUGCAACAGAGCAGCUCGAGAUUAUAGUAAUGGGUGGCUUGGGAAAAUGUUUGAGCUACAUAAGUGCAUCCUUUUCUCCGCAAUGGCGAUGGUGUGCUCCCAACUACAGACCGUAUGCUGAAUAAAAAUGUUUUAUUAUCAGUGGGUAGUGGGUUGGCUGCUGUCUUCUUCGCGUUCUCACUGAGCACAAAAUUCCACUAUUUUGGUCCUAGGAUGUUGCAUGGUGGGACCAAAUACAGUGCCACUGGGAGGGGUUUUGUAAUUGGAAAAACUUACAGGAUGUAUUCAAGAAGCCAUUUUUUUUGAAAUGCUUGGAAGUGAUGAUCUUGCCGAUAUUUUAUCGGAUUUAUGGAGUUGGAUUGGACAAAGUGGAUAAGUAGCCAAGGAGGUAUCGGUGUGUUAGCAAGCAUGAAUUGGGAGUCCUGGUGGUAGGAGUAACAACAGCACUUGUAUACACAGGAUUGAACAAGACGAUUUUGGGAAAUUGUUCUUUUUCACUGCUUCAUCUAUCAGUACGAGAUUAUUUAUCAUCUACAUGUUGCCCAUUGAAAUGUAGCUUCAGUUAAUCGAUAUAUUAUCUGUUAAAAUACCUAUAAUCCAUUUUUAUUUUAUUUUUUUCCUUCAUCAUGAGUUGAGACAAUAUGAGAAUGCUGUAUAAAUGUAAUAUUUUCCUUUUCCCGCUGAACUAUAUCCAUUUCUUUUUAUUCAAAUCCAACUUCCUUAAACAUGUAUCACUCAAAUACAACAAAGCUAAUAAGUUUGAGACUCUAUGGCUGAUUAUUACA